ACGGCUCAGUAACACGUGGUCAAUCUACCCUCAGGACGGAGAUAACCUCGGGAAACUGAGGCUAAUAUCCGAUAGAUAAUGGAUCCUGGAAUGGUUCAUUAUUCAAACGGCACAUUGCUCAUGCGCAGUGUGUCGCCUGAGGAUGAGACUGCACCCUAUCAGGUAGUUGGUGGGGUAAUGGCCCACCAAGCCUAUAACGGGUACGGGCCCUGAGAGGGGGAGCCCGGAGAUGGGCACUGAGACAAGGGCCCAGGCCCUACGGGGCGCAGCAGGCGCGAAACCUCUGCAAUGCGCGAAAGCGCGACAGGGCCACCCCGAGUGCUAGCCGCUGAGGUUAGCUUUUCCUUAGUGUAGUAAGCUAAGGGAAUAAGCGGGGGGCAAGCCUGGUGUCAGCCGCCGCGGUAAUACCAGCUCCGCGAGUGGUCGGGACGAUUAUUGGGCCUAAAGCGUCCGUAGCCGGCCUAUCAAGUCUCUGGUUAAACCUCAAGGCUCAACCUUGAGAUCGCUGGAGAUACUGUUAGGCUAGGGGGCGGGAGAGGUUGAGGGUACUUCGCGGGUAGGGGCGAAAUCCUAUAAUCCGCGAAGGACCACCAGUGGCGAAGGCGCUCAACUGGAACGCGCCCGACGGUGAGGGACGAAAGCCAGGGGAGCAAAGGGGAUUAGAUACCCCCGUAGUCCUGGCUGUAAACGAUGCGGGCUAGGUGUUGGGUUGGCUUCGUGCCAACCCGGUGCCCGCAGUGAAGACGAUAAGCCCGCCGCCUGGGAAGUACGGGUUGCAAAGCUGAAACUUACAGGAAUUGGCGGGGGAGCAC
rnacentral:rRNA from 1 species